CAGAACUGGCCAAAGACAAAGGCCACGCGUGCAGGUCAGAUUAUUCUCUCCCCCUGUCCCCUGGGCAUUGAAAACCUCCGUCAGGCAUUAUCAUGACAUAAAAUGGUCCUCAAGCUUUGGGCCCAGAGCCAUGGGUUUAUCCACAUACCUCUUUCCACCAGCUCCCCUUUCUCUUGUGUUCCAAUCAUGUUUCUUCCAACCAAGCCACCUGCCACUGUCCAGGAUUCCUAUCAUCUGUCUAUUUAUCUAUCAUCUAUAUAUCAUCUAUCCAUCCAUCUAUCUAUCGUCUGUCUAUCUAUCUGAAUUUUUUUUUUCCACACACGUCUCUGUUUUAUUAUGGCAAAGGUGAAAACGCCACCUUCCCCACAAGGACAACCGGUAACAUUUAUCCCAAAAAUAACUCGGUACAAAACAGGGCUGCUUCAGAAUUUUGAAAGAAAGAAAGAAAGAAAGAAAGAAAGAAAGAAAGAAAGAAAGAAGAAAGAAAGAAAGAAAGAAAGAAAGAAAGAAAGAAAGGCAAAAAAGAAAAAAAAAAAAAAAACCUUUACAUGAGUUUUUAAAUCCUAUUUUAAACCAUAAAAGAAACAAAUCCAUCAUUGGCUGCACAGCCCCCGUCCACGCCCCUUCCCGCCAGGGAGCACGGAGGAGACAUCUGGGUCCGGCUCCACCUGCGGAUCUGCCGGUCUCUAGCCGGUGUCCGUUCUGGCGUCAUAAGCAUCCGGCCGGCGUCCAGCUCCUCUGCAGAAAGCUGCUGCUGCGAACUCCUACCAGUGCCUCGACCUCUGCCCCAGCUCCCUCCACGGGUGCCUCUUCUGGUGCCGCCGCCGUCGCCACCAAAACCUCCGGAGCCCCGGUGUCCAGUCAUCCCGCCUCUGCUUAUGCUCUGCGCGGGUGUCCGCUGUGUCAAUCUGUGACGCGACGAGCUGGAUGUUCCUGGGGCGGCCAUCCACAGGGACGCCGUCGUCCUGUUUCAUGGCUUUCAGGGCAUCUGCCUUCCGUGCAGAGUGCACGUCGGCUGCUCCUAAACUGCGCCCGGAGCGGUCAUGGUGUACAGCUGCCUUCUUCAGAGUUCCUGAGUGUCCGUGGCCGACACGCCGAGAUCUACCUACCUACCUAUCCACCAUCUAUCACCUGUCAGCUACCCAUCAUCUAUCCAUCAUCUAUCUCUCUAUCAUCUGUCAUCUAUCAUCUAAUCUAUCUCUCCAUCCAUCAUCUAUCCAUUAUCUAUCUAUCCAUCAUCUAUCAUCUAUCAUCUAUCAU
rnacentral:lncRNA from 1 species